rnacentral:lncRNA from 1 species
CACGACUUCUCCAGUCAAGUCUGAAUGCCCAGGCCAGCCAGUGUCAAUUUCAGUUUGGUUCCAAUGUUCCCAGACCUCCGCUCAUAGAGCAUUCUUCCUUCCUCAUUAGACCUAGAAACACAUUUUGUCCAGGAAAGCAGUUUCAAGUGAAUGAGUUACGCUGAAUGCCCAGAAAGAACAAUGCAACUUCUGGAAAUCCCGUGAUACCAGCCAAAGUUGUCAAUGAAUCAAGAAUCAACUUCGAGGAAUGUUUUGGACUAAGAAAAGGAUAGAUCAAAGGAACAGUAAAUACAGCCUAUGCCUGGAAGACUUAAUAUUUUAGCUCUUUGUUGGGGAUGGAAUCUGGAGGCAAUUGCAAUAGAGUAAAAAGAAAAAUGAUCUAGGAGUCAAGACACAGGUAAAAUUCUGGCUUUGCUGCUAAAUAUCUGGAUGUGUUGGGCAAGUCAUUUAGUCAACCUAGGCCUCAAUUUCUCUGUCUGUUGGAAAUAAUGAUGACUGAAAUUUUAUUAAACAUGUAUUAUGAAUCUAUCAACAGUUCUUAGAGGCUUAUUUGGAGGGGGAUGAAUAGAUCAGUGAUUUUCAAACUUAACUUUUGUGCAAGGGAAUCCUUUCAUAAAAUGAAGUCUUGUAUGGCUCCCUAAUACAUAGCACAGAUAAAAGUAGUAUACCUAUUUCAUAAGUUAC